rnacentral:rRNA from 1 species
UACAGAGGUCUCAAGCGUUGUUCGGAUUCAUUGGGCGUAAAGGGUGCGUAGGCGGCGCGGUAAGUCGGGUGUGAAAUCUCGGAGCUUAACUCCGAAACUGCAUUCGAUACUGCCGUGCUUGAGGACUGGAGAGGAGACUGGAAUUUACGGUGUAGCGGUGAAAUGCGUAGAUAUCGUAAGGAAGACCAGUGGCGAAGGCGGCAUCCUGGACCGGCAUUGACGCUGAGGUGCGAAAGCUAGGGGAGCAAACGGG